AGAUGAAGCACGUGAAGACGAGUUCGAGAGAAGCGACGAUGAUGAUUGUAAUGAUAGUGAUGAGAACGAAAACGAUUUAGAGUGAUAUAAUAGUGAUUAGAACGAAAACGAUUUAGAGUGAUGUAAUAUAUGUAUCAAAUGUUGGAUUUCUCUAUUGUAACAUUUUCUAAAAGAAAGAGUAAGAAGUAGUAUGAAAUAAGAUAUGAUGUUAGAUGAUAUGUGACUUUGGGGUUUAGGGAUUUCAUUCUCGGUGUUUAGGGUUAAGCGUCGUAAUUUCGUCGUAAAUGGAAAAACGCGGGCCUGGUAAUUUCUUCGUAAAACGAAAAACACGGGUCUGGUAAUUUCGUCGUAAAACGAAAAACACGGGCAUGGUAAUUUCGUCGUAAAUGAAAAAACGCGGGCCUGGUAAAUUCGUCGUAAAUGGAAAAACGCGGGCCUGGUAAAUUCGUCGUAAACUUACGUCGCUUUUACGACGAAUCCUAAUCUAUAUAAGGAGACGCCGAGAGCGAGGCUGCCUCGCUCAUUCCUCCCAAAUUCCUUUGCUCUCUCUAAGGUAAACUCUCUCUUCUCUCUUUUUUUUUUUUUUUAAAUUAGUUUAGGUGAUUAGUUAGGUAACGGAAUUAGUUUAGGUGAUUAGUUAGGUAAUUAGUUUAGGUGAUUAGUUAGGUAACGGAAUAAUAUUUUUAUUAUGUCGUAAUUGAUUAAAUGUAUUUUAGUUUUUUUUAGAUGGCUCCU
rnacentral:lncRNA from 1 species